AUCGGUAGGGGUUCUGAGAGGAAGGUCCCCCACACUGGAACUGAGACACGGUCCAGACUCCUACGGGAGGCAGCAGUGAGGAAUAUUGGUCAAUGGACGAAAGUCUGAACCAGCCAAGUAGCGUGCAGGAUGACGGCCCUCUGGGUUGUAAACUGCUUUUAGUUGGGGAUAAAAAAGAGGACGUGUCCUCUAUUGUAUGUACCUUCAGAAAAAGGACCGGCUAAUUCCGUGCCAGCAGCCGCGGUAAUACGGAAGGUCCAGGCGUUAUCCGGAUUUAUUGGGUUUAAAGGGAGCGUAGGCGGAUUAUUAAGUCAGUGGUGAAAGACGGUGGCUCAACCAUCGUUAGCCAUUGAAACUGGUAGUCUUGAGUGCAGACAGGGAUGCUGGAACUCGUGGUGUAGCGGUGAAAUGCUUAGAUAUCACGAUGAACUCCGAUCGCGAAGGCAGGUGUCCGGGCUGCAACUGACGCUGAGGCUCGAAAGUGUGGGUAUCAAACAGGAUUAGAUACCCUGGUAGUCCACACAGUAAACGAUGUAUACUCGCGGUUUGCGAUAGACAGUAAGCCGCCAAGCGAA
rnacentral:rRNA from 1 species